rnacentral:misc_RNA from 1 species
UGCUGGCUGGAGUUGUUAUGA